rnacentral:rRNA from 1 species
GAUGAACGCUGGCGGCGUGCCUAAUACAUGCAAGUCGAGCGAACAGACGAGGAGCUUGCUCCUCUGACGUUAGCGGCGGACGGGUGAGUAACACGUGGAUAACCUACCUAUAAGACUGGGAUAACUUCGGGAAACCGGAGCUAAUACCGGAUAAUAUAUUGAACCGCAUGGUUCAAUAGUGAAAGACGGCUUUGCUGUCACUUAUAGAUGGAUCCGCGCCGCAUUAGCUAGUUGGUAAGGUAACGGCUUACCAAGGCAACGAUGCGUAGCCGACCUGAGAGGGUGAUCGGCCACACUGGAACUGAGACACGGUCCAGACUCCUACGGGAGGCAGCAGUAGGGAAUCUUCCGCAAUGGGCGAAAGCCUGACGGAGCAACGCUGCGUGAGUGAUGAAGGUCUUCGGAUCGUAAAACUCUGUUAUUAGGGAAGAACAAAUGUGUAAGUAACUAUGCACGUCUUGACGGUACCUAAUCAGAAAGCCACGGCUAACUACGUG